AACGCGAAGAACCUUACCAACCCUUGACAUGUCCAGUAUGGAUUCGAGAGAUCAAAUCCUUCGGUUCGGCCGGCUGGAACACAGGUGCUGCAUGGCUGUCGUCAGCUCGUGUCGUGAGAUGUUGGGUUAAGUCCCGCAACGAGCGCAACCCUCAUCUUCAGUUGCCCCCGGGUCAGGCCGGGCACUCUGAAGAAACCGCCGGUGACAAGCCGGAGGAAGGCGGGGAUGACGUCAAGUCCUCAUGGCCCUUACGGGUUGGGCUACACACGUACUACAAUGGUGGUGACAGAGGGCAGCGAAGGCGCGAGCCGGAGCUAAUCCUCAAAAGCCAUCUCAGUUCGGAUUGCACUCUGCAACUCGGGUGCAUGAAGUUGGAAUCGCUAGUAAUCGCAGAUCAGCACGCUGCGGUGAAUACGUUCCCGGGCCUUGUACACACCGCUAGUC
rnacentral:rRNA from 1 species